CGUCAAAAAAAUGAAUUGAAUAGUUGAAACGAACAGUUUAUUCUAAUUGCAAGCAAAGUUCUAGAGAAAUCGAGUCUGUUGCGCAGUGUAAUUUCACAUGGGAAUAAAAAAGGUAUUGCAGCAGGUUGACUGCUACCUGCCGCAACCUGUUGCAACCACAAGCCGAAAACUGUGGCACAACCACCAAAGAACAACACAAAAAAAGACAAACUAGAAAUAAAAGAAACAAAAUUGAAAGUCAUUUUUUUGGAAAGCGAUCGCAAUCAAGAGCAAAACACGCGGAAGUCAAAUGCAAAUACUGGCACAGAGAAAGAGAACACACGAAAAGUACACGAAGUAAUACAUGUGUUCAGGAGCUGAGACAACAACAAGAACAACAAAUGCAGCAAACGGCAUCGAUUGGCUCAGUGAGUUCCAGGAAACUGGCCAAAACUGACCAAACGAUGACGACGACGACGACGACGACGAUCCGUUCUCCCCCUAAACGAAACGACAAUCGUGCAAACCCAAACAGAACAACAACAAAAAACGAAAAUAAAAUUAAGAUCAGCUCACCUGAGCGAGGCGCACAAAAUACCCGAGUAUUAUAUCGAACAAUAAAAUGAGGCAAGUGGCAAGUGGCCAAAGGGGCACGUAACCAAAGCAGGGCAACAACAACAACAGCAAUGGCAACGGCACGCCCAUUGCCCAGUCCCAGAGAGAACAGGAGUGUUUCGUUGCCCAGUCGAACAGGAGGUUGCACAUCCGAAGGGGUAUUAGGGGAGAGGGGCGGAGGAGAAGCUCGAACCAAUUCAACUCAAAACUCUGAUCGGCGGCAUCACUCAGUCAACUGCUUUCGUUUUUUCGCGUUUUUGUUGCGCUCCCUGUUUAAAAUACCCUAGAAACGUGACAACUAUAAUAAAGGGUAGUCACAGUUAGAGAAUAAAUACAUAUUCAUAAAAAAAACAUUUCAUAUUAAACUCAAAUUU